rnacentral:rRNA from 1 species
UACGUAGGGUGCAAGCGUUAAUCGGAAUUACUGGGCGUAAAGCGUGCGCAGGCGGUUGUGCAAGACAGAUGUGAAAUCCCCGGGCUUAACCUGGGAAUUGCAUUUGUGACUGCACGGCUAGAGUGUGUCAGAGGGGGUAGAAUUCCACGUGUAGCAGUGAAAUGCGUAGAUAUGUGGAGGAAUACCGAUGGCGAAGGCAGCCCCCUGGGAUAACACUGACGCUCAUGGCACGAAAGCGUGGGAGCAA